AGUGAACGCUGGCGGUAGGCCUAACACAUGCAAGUCGAACGGCAGCACAGUAAGAGCUUGCUCUUACGGGUGGCGAGUGGCGGACGGGUGAGGAAUAUAUCGGAAUCUACUUUUUCGUGGGGGAUAACGUAGGGAAACCUACGCUAAUACCGCAUACGACCUACGGGUGAAAGCAGGGGAUCUUCGGACCUUGCGCGAUUGAAUGAGCCGAUGUCGGAUUAGAUAGUUGGCGGGGUAAAGGCCCACCAAGGCGACGAUCCGUAGCUGGUCUGAGAGGAUGAUCGGCCACACUGGAACUGGGACACGGUCCAGACUCCUACGGGAGGCAGCAGUGGGGAAUAUUGGACAAUGGGCGCAAGCCUGAUCCAGCCAUACCGCGUGGGUGAAGAAAGCCUUCGGGUUGUAAAGCCCUUUUGUUGGGAAAGAAAAGCAGCAGGUUAAUACCCCGCUGUUCUGACGGUACCCAAAGAAUAAGCACCGGCUAACUUCGUG
rnacentral:rRNA from 1 species